CUUAUCAAGAGUGGUGGAGGGACCGGCCCUGUGAAGCCACGGCAACCUGCCAAAAGCAAGGUGCCAAAUCCGGCGGUAGAAUCGCAAGAUGAGG
rnacentral:ncRNA from 1 species